rnacentral:misc_RNA from 1 species
GGAAGUAAAGGUCGUAACAAGGUUUCCGUAGGUGAACCUGCGGAAGGAUCAUUAUCGUACAAAAUGUGAGGGGCAUGCGAGGGCUGUCGCUGACCCAAAAGUCGUGCACGCCCGAGUGUGUCCUCUUGCAUAAUAAUCCAUCUCACCCUUUGUGCAUCACCGCGUGGGCACCCUUCGGGAUCAUCUCGGAGGGGGGCUCGCGUUUUCACGCAAACCCCCCUUUUAAAAGUGUAGAAUGACCACAUUUAUGCAAUCAAUACAACUUUCAACAACGGAUCUCUUGGCUCUC